GUAAUGCAAGGAAGGGACAAAGAUGAAAUGGACACAUGCUCCUUUUUUGGCCAUAAUAUCACUCCUCAGCUUGUCAAAAAGUCACUUGUUCCUGGCACAGCUUAUUCCAGGCAAGAAAGGAACAAAGUGCUUACCUGAACAGAGGAUACUUUAAGUCACAUUCAGAAGAGGAAAGAAGUCCCCAGUUUCUGUGUUUCAGAGAUUGCCCAAGAAAAGCCAUCAUGGCUGAAAUUGGGGGCAAGAGAAGCUGCAUGGCUGGAUUAUUCUUAGCCUUUUGGAGAUGGAAUACUUCACAAAAUUGAUUCUGAUUUUAAUAGUCUCAGCUGUAUCCUAAGG
rnacentral:lncRNA from 1 species